rnacentral:rRNA from 1 species
GCGUCAGCGUCAAAGGCGAAACUUCUGAUUGGGACUAAGUCGUAACAAGGUAACCGUAGGGGAACCUGCGGUUGGAUCACCUCCUUU